UUCACGCGCGGACACAGCCUUCAAGGAUGCCCGCCCGGUUCAAACAGCGCCCGUAAACAAACACAGCAUUCCUCCUUUCUUAACGAAAGCAGGAUAUGAUUGUGUACACCUGAGGAUUUCGAAUAGUACGAGCGGCACGUCUUACUGCGUUGGCACUAUCCCUCGAAGCUCCACUGCGAGCACGUCGCUGUGUGCGCGGUCACAGCCGCAAUGCCCAGCUGUUGUGUGCCAGGAUGCAAGUCGCGCGGCUCACAAGGAGUACCAGCCACCUCCUACCAUUUGUAAGUUUCCCAAAGAUGCCGUUCGUCGGACAAAGUGGAUAGAAGCAAUUUGGCCCCCGCAUAUUCGCCGGGAACCUGCAAAGGAAGCUCAUGUUUGUUCGAAGCAUUUCUUAGAGGAGCAUUUUGAUCGCACGUCCGCGUUCAAAGUCCGCCUACGAGAGCAUGCAGUUCCUACUCUCUUGCUACCUCAUCCAGUACAACAAGGUGAUAGAGCACCUGAUGCAGCAAGCACCGAUUCAUCCUUUGAUUCCCCUCAGCUCAUGCAAGGUUGCGCUGAAGGCUUGCUGCUGCUUGCACAGGUUGCUGCAACUUCUCAUGAAGGCCUCCAAGCUUGCCUCUCCACACCUGCAUCGCCUGACUUAGCUGCAGGCUUCCACGGGCAGUCCACACUCCAACAGGUGCACAUCACUUUUCCCCUCUCGUUUUUUUAUUAUUAAGCUCAUUAGCUCACUACUUUGAACACUUUGCUGAAGAGCAAACCACUGAAUAGCAUAGGUAUUCUUGCUUUUAGGAAGCCAUGGAUAUACAGCAUGAAAGUGCAGAUCCAAUCAGUUUACCUGACCGAGAUCCCUCCAACCUAAGUGCCAGUCAUUUCAUCGAGCCAGCACUUGUACAGGUGAAAAUUCACCUCUGUUCUACUCAUCAGGCAUG